UUUUGUUAUGAUUUGUGUGUAAGGCUAAGCACAGUGUUUUAACCAGUGGUUAGUGGAAUUGUUACAUAAACACCCUUUUAAAAGUGUAGUUCGCUGCUUAGUUUGGAUCAAGAGUCAAGUUUGAGAUCUCACUUUGAGCAGUACAAGUACUCUGCAAUUAUGGCUGAUAAAGGUAAAUAUGAGGAUAGUGGUAACUGCAGCAAGUCAGGAUGAAGGCCAGGAGCCACCGUCCAUCCACCCUUACCAGUAAACAGGCAAUUCUGCUCUUCUCAUUUGAGAGCUUGCUGAAGAUUCAUGGGAAAAAAGAAAUGCAAUCUUACACAUGUGCUUCAUUCAAAUGUAGUGGAUAGUACCGGGGAACCAGUUUAUCUAUGGACGUAACCGGCUGACUGCUACAGCAGGUUAUGAGAGACUUCAUCAUGUGUUGUGUGAAGAAUGGCAGAGAAAGCUGGAAUCAUGGAAAAGAUAGCUAGGUUAUACCACUGACAACUUAGGAAGGAGAACUAUAAAAAUGACAAAAUAUUUCCUUACAGACAGAAAGAAUUUUGUGAAAAUAUUCAACUAAGUGUAAAUUAACAGCUAAUUGUUCAAUCAAGUUUUGGUACG